rnacentral:rRNA from 1 species
ACGACGCAGGUGGUUGUGCUUCGGGUGUCGCUGCACUGCAAGGGGUGCGCGGGCAAGGUGAAGAAGCACCUCGCCAAGAUGGAGGGCGUGACGUCGUUCGACAUCGACAUCCCGAGCAAGAAGGUGACGGUGGUCGGCGACGUGACGCCGCUGGGGGUGCUCACCAGCGUCUCCAAGGUCAAGCCCGCCCAGUUCUGGCCGUCGACGCCGUGCCCCCCGCGGGCCUCAGCUUCCUUCUGA